rnacentral:lncRNA from 1 species
AACUGGGGUAGGAAGACACCGUUAGCACAGAGGGUGGGAUAAGGAGAAAAACCAGGUUUUCUGUUCCUCCACUUCCCCAUUUGGGGAGAUAAGCGUUCCUAUGAGGAAAGGUGUGUCAGACACAGUCUACUCAUCCCAGGAGACACAUAUCUGAGGACAGCAUGGCGGGUAAUGGAUUGGCUGAGGCAGCUGCCACCCUUAGCACAGGCUGGCAGGGUUUGGCUGGGGACCGCGGCUGCCUGGAUGGCAAGGUCCAGUUGCCAUGCCUAUUCUGAUCCAUUCCCUCGUAGUCGGACAGUUGUGGUUCCUGGAGGUAGGUUGGGGACUGUCCUCUGUCAUUGUUCUUCUCUGCUCUGGGGAGGAGGGAACGUCGUGGUAACAGGUAUGUCCAGCUUCCCAGGCCUGAAAUGGUUUUUAUGAUGCUUCAACUGGGAGGCCAAAAGUUCUCGGCAAGCCUCAGUUUCUCUCCCAGGAUGCAAAGGAUGUCACUGUCGAUGGUUCCUGAACAGCCCUGCCAUCCAACGCCGAGCUGUGUGUGACCCGUGCCCGGCUCUGAGCGGUGGCUGAUGCGGGCUUGCCUUUGCAAGGGGAUCCUCUGGUGCUUCAUCCUUGUUGGGCCUCAGGCAGGGCAGGAGGCGUCUCAACAUUUUUCUGAAAGGGCUGUCAUGAAAAACCUCUUCCUUUUCAGGCAGGGGCUUGAGGGGUUUGGUCCCUAGGGUGUCUCCUAUUCCCCCGACCUGGCUCCAAGACUGGGACCCUGACUCCCCCUCCAGAGUUGCCACCCCAUGGCAGGGCUCUGGUGAGGCCCCACCCCUACUCUCCUCCCGAGGCUCAUUCCUGGCCACUGCUGACCCUGAAGUCAGCUCUCAACGGCCUUGCUCGGCCCCCACGAAGGGCCGAGUGUUGAGCCUCACAUGCUUUCAGAUCUGCAGGCCCCAAAGACAGGAGGGGUAGGCCCCAGCGUGAAUUCAGCCCAGACAUGAUAGUGUGUGCUUCGAGCAUCUGAGGAGUGUGUGGAUCAUCUUGUUCUUUUUCCCAGACCUCCGUUUGUAUUCUUUCCGUGAUUUCUGUCUCGAGCAGCUUCUGGACAUCAGGGUUGGCAACUGAGGGGCUAUCAGUCUCUCCCUCCCUAUUUGUGGGGCCUCCCCAGAAUGAGGCCACUGGUCAGUGGCAGGACAGGUGCCCUUGCUGGGACUCGAAGUGUGAUGACACAGGGAAGAGCAAGACCUUGAUUAUGUUCCACCUGGAGAGGAACUCAAUGCGACAGCUCACGCGGCCGUGGCCUGAGUUGGGAAAUGGCCAACAGGAGUGACCUGGAGCUGAGCUCGUGGCAACAGGGCCUAGUGGAGUUCUGGUCAAGGCCGAUGGAGGUUCUGCUGGCAGAGUGGAGGCCAAAGGUAGAGUACGCUGGGUGAGAAGAGCCAGGGAAAGUGCUGGGGUCAUGGUGAGAGGAGCACCUUCCACAGGCUUCCCGCAUGGCUGGCGGACUCUAGCAGAUGCUGUCUUGCAUGCCUCCCCAGGGGAGUCUUGAGAUGACAAGCGA